UGGUGGUUUUAUUCGAGAAAGAGAAAGAGGAAGAAAAGUUAGCAAAGGAAAUAAAAGAAGAUAACAAGAUUGAAAAGUGUCAAAAUCGUGAAAGAGAAAUCAUCGCACCGAUGAUGGGAUAUAUUAUGGGUUGCACGUGUUUCAAAGGUACCAACCUCUUGCCAUUUUUCCAAGGUACGUGUGUGUCAUACGAGUCUCUCGGAAUAUCGCAUGGCAUCUUCCAUUUUCUUUUCUUAAAAGCAUCGAAGAUUCCUCCGUA